rnacentral:lncRNA from 1 species
AUGAAGAGUGAGAAAAAGAGAGGGUCGGGGCAAGACGGAGAACAUCCCAGAUUGAGAGAGACAGAUGUAAGGGAAAAAGGGCGUGCAGCGGUCUGUUUGUGUGCGUGCGCAUGUGUGUGUGUGUGUGUGUCUGCAUGUGCGUGUGGGGGUACGUGCCGAGGCAGGGGGGCUAUGUCGUUGCACCGCGCAAAACGCUGGGAUAGUAUGAAUGAGUCCCGGAGCCGUGACCUUGGCUCUGCCAUUGUUGCAGCGCUCUCUCCGCCGUGGCCUCCCAGGCAUGCGUUCCCACGUGCAUUAAAGCACUCCGCAAAACCCUGCUUACCUUCCCGGGCCACUCCCAGGCCCCGCCUGGGAACCAGCCGCCCUCCCCCGCUUGCGGCCACUCCUAAUUUCUCUCUCGCCCUCCGUCUCUCCCACUCUGCCUCUCUUUCUCUCCCUGUAUUUUCCUCUCUCCUUUUAGUCGGUAAAUCCAUCUCGCCCUCUCUCUCUUUAGCAUCUCCCUCACUGACGCUCUCUCGAUCCAACGCCCUCCUCUCUCUUUAUCCCCCUUUCCCUCCAUCUCUCUUCUUUAUCUCUCUCAAUCUCUCUCUCCCUCCCCCCUCCCUUUUUAUAUCUGUCUAUCUCUCUUUAGUAUCUCUCUCACUCUCACUCUCUCCAUCUCCCUCCCCCCUCUCUCAUUAUCUCCCUCUUUCUCUCUUUUGUAUCUCUCUCACUCUCUCCAUCACCCUCCCCCCUCUCUCAUUAUCUCCCUCUUUCUCUCUUUUGUAUCUCUCUCAUUCUCUCCAUCUCCCUCCCCCCUCUCUCAUUAUCUCCCUCUUUCUCUCUUUUGUAUCUCUCUCAUUCUCUCCAUCUCCCUCCCCCCUCUCUCUUAAUCCCCCUCUUUCUCUCUUUAGAUACCUCUCUCACUCUCUCGGUCUCCCUCCCCCCUCUCUCUUAAUCCCCCUCUUUCUCUCUUUAGAUACCUCUCUCACUCUCUCGGUCUCCCUCCGCCCUCUCUCUUUAACUCCCUCUGUCUCUCUUUAA